rnacentral:rRNA from 1 species
UACGAAGGGGGCUAGCGUUGCUCGGAAUCACUGGGCGUAAAGCGCACGUAGGCGGCUUUUUUAAGUCAGGGGUGAAAUCCUGGAGCUCAACUCCAGAACUGCCUUUGAUACUGAGAAGCUUGAGUCCGGGAGAGGUGAGUGGAACUGCGAGUGUAGAGGUGAAAUUCGUAGAUAUUCGCAAGAACACCAGUGGCGAAGGCGGCUCACUGGCCCGGUACUGACGCUGAGGUGCGAAAGCGUGGGGAGCA